rnacentral:rRNA from 1 species
AGCAGUCGCCGCGGUAAUACAGAGGGUGCGAGCGUUAAUCGGAUUUACUGGGCGUAAAGCGUGCGUAGGCGGCUUCUUAAGUCGGAUGUGAAAUCCCUGAGCUUAACUUAGGAAUUGCAUUCGAUACUGGGAAGCUAGAGUAUGGGAGAGGAUGGUAGAAUUCCAGGUGUAGCGGUGAAAUGCGUAGAGAUCUGGAGGAAUACCGAUGGCGAAGGCAGCCAUCUGGCCUAAUACUGACGCUGAGGUACGAAAGCAUGGGGAGCAAACAGGAUUAGAUACCCUGUAGUCCCUGUCUCUUAUACC